rnacentral:rRNA from 1 species
ACAAGUACCAGCGAGGGAAAGUGUUUCCACUUUGAAAAUAGAGUUAAUAGGACGUUAAACCGGCGAUGCGGAAACGGAUAUAGCCAGCGGAUCUGUUCCUGCAUUCAUCUACGUGUAAUUCGCGCGCCCCACCUCUGGCGACUCCAAAUUGGGACGGAGUUGGGGUUGUACCCCGCCCGUGGUGCAUUUGCAAGCGUGUGCGCUGAGCUGUUCGAGGUGUUGGGAUGAACUUGGUUUUGAGGCCAGCUUGCUGGUACCCGGACCGGGGGAGUGCCAUUCGCCUUGGGCUUUUAUGUUGGAUAUGGCUUACGGGAUCGAAUGGGCGCCGAGCUGGUCGUCGGCGGCGGUCGCAUGCGACACGUGCUGUGCGUGCCCAUUCGGUCCUGUGCGAACUCACAUGUCCCAACCUCAGUGUAAGAGCUGGCCAUCUAUCCGACCCGUCUUGAAACACGGACCAAGGAGUUUCCCUUGUGCGCCUUGCAUUGGGUGUUGAAAACCCACAGGUUUCCCUCAAGUGAAUGCAUCCCUCGCGCAACCUACUAGCAAUUUCGGUCACUGCGGUGGCCGAGUGGACCAUGGACCCAUCCUGACUGCUUGCAGAGUGGUGGAAGAAUAACACACUGGGCGACACCCUACACAUGCAGAUCUAUGCCUGACCAUGAUGAAUGCGGCUGACUUUCUGAUGGAAUCCCAGGAUCUUUUUGACAUCCUAUUUUUCUGCGUGACUUGUGCUGAUGGGCGAAAGACUAUCACA